rnacentral:rRNA from 1 species
UCGUCAGCUCCCAGAAGUUAAGCUGCGUCGGGUCCCGUUAGUACCUAGAAGGGUGACCGCUUGGGAAUACGAGAUGCUGUUGGCA